UCUCGAUCGCGUAAACGUUAAAACAAAUUUGUAUGGAGUUCAAAAGUUUGCCUACGUUAGCCACCAGAGGCGCUGUUCCAACUGCAUUCAAAUUUGAGUUAACUUUUACGCUAUCAA
rnacentral:pre_miRNA from 9 species